GACGAACGCUGGCGGCGUGCCUAAUACAUGCAAGUCGAACGAGAGCGCCCGGUGCUUGCGCUGGUCAAGCUAGUGGCGAACGGGAGUGUAACGCGUGGGUAACCUGCCCAUCAGAGGGGGAUAACAUUCGGACACGGUUGCUAAAACCGCAUGGGUCUUCGAACCGCACGGUUUGAAGAGGAAAAGAGGCGCAAGCUUCUGCUGAUGGCUGUACCCGCGGUGCAUGGGUUAGUUGGUGAGGUAACGGCUCACGAAGGCCGUGAUGCAUAGCCGACCUGAGAGGGUGUUCGGCCACAUUGGGAGUGAACCGCGACACUGAGUCCUACGGAAGGCAGCGGCAGGGACUCGUCCGCGAUGGGGGGAAGUCUGACGGAGCAGCGCCGGGCUAGUGAAGAAGGUCUGCGGAUCGUAAAACUGUGUUGUGGGUGAAGAAUAAUUGCUAGAGUAACUGUUCGCUUUGUGACGGUACCUAGACAGAAAGCCACGGCUAACUACGUG
rnacentral:rRNA from 1 species